AUGAAUAUUAUGCAAGGAGAUCGCUUCUUUGCUGCACGAAAGAGCUCCCGCACUCUCUUAGCCCCAGUGCCCACAUACACCUCGUCGAAAUCACUGCCACUGCACGCGAAGAAGGGGACGCCGGCUUCCCCGGCCACAGCUCUUGCCAACAUGGUCUUCCCUGUGCCGGGUGGGCCCACAAGCAAAAGACCCUUUGGAAGCUUGCCACCAAGUAGGGUGCACUAG
rnacentral:rRNA from 1 species